rnacentral:lncRNA from 1 species
CCCAUGACAGUGCUUUCAAAGAAAGCAUCAUAUGUAAAAAAAAAUCCUUGGUCUUAGUCAUAGCAGAAAAGCAUUCUCUAUAUUAUAUAGCUGUCUGUGACUAACGUACCUAUACCAGACAAAGAUAUAGGCAAUAUUUGUCUUACUCACUGUAACUAUUGAGAACAAAAUAAGUUUAAAAACAGAAAUAACAAUAACUAUUCUCUUAGUUGCAUUUCCUGUAGGAAAGAAACAUAGAUAGCAUAAAAAUUUGGCUUUUAUUUGUAUGCAUGAAACAUGAAGCUUGCUAAGGAAAAGUUAUACUGAAGAGAUUAAACCACAGCCAUUUUUAUGUGUGCUUCAAAGCAAUUUUCACAGGACAGCUCCAACUGAGGUGUAAAUUUCAUCUCUCAGAACUGGUGGAAAUCACAAGUGACAGACCUUUUUCAGGAUGGGAAGCAUUGGAUCUGAACGUCCUGUUCUGGAUGCUGGGUGGAACGAGAAGAAACAUGACCAACAAAGAACAGCAGAUAAUCUGGUUGGAAGGGACCGCUGGGAUACAUCUAGUCAAGCCUCCUGUAUUACAUGUGCCUACUGCCAACAACCAAACAGGACAAAAGUGGCUUUUCCUGGCAGUCAUGAAAUCCUACAAGGACGGAGAUUUCUCUACAUUCAAGAAACAUUUUCCCAUGCUGUGCCAUAUUCCUAAUAAAACACUUUUCCUAAUAUCCAGCCUGAAACAACCAAGUAUCAUUUGCAGCUGUUGCCUUGGGCUAUACCGUUUUAUACUACUGUGAACCUCUGUUGAUUAGCUCCCUGACAGCAGCUGUGGAUGCUAUGAAACUUCCCCUCAGCCUCCUCUUUGCAGGACUGAAACAGCUCAGCUUCCCUCCCUAUCCCCUCUGCAGUUAUCUGGCAGCCAUUCUGGAUCCACACGAGUUUCUCAGCAGCCAUUCUGAAAUGAGAGGCCCCAAAACUGGACACAGAAAUCCAGGGGCAGACUCACUAGUGCCAAGAAGCCAAGUAUAUAGUCUGCCUUAUUCAUGAUGAAAGCAUGAUGCUGGCUACUGUUUAGUCUGACAUACAGGUUUUCAGCAGAUUUCUCUGCCUGUACCCAUGAGUGGGUUUUUGUUUGUUUUUCUUGUUUGUUUUGUUUUGUUUUGUUUUUCUGCUCCAGUUAAUUGGAACAUGUAACAGCUAUCAUUUGGGAAAAAGAAACAGUGAAUUGCCUGAAAUCAAAUUGUACCUAAUUCUCUACAAAGAGUUAAUGCAACAAGAGGAUGAAGUAUGUUAUGAUUCUGAUAUGUUUAUAUCAUACUUAAGUACAUUAUGCUACUAUUUCAGAACUACAUAAUCCUCUUCAAGACCCUGGUAGCCCGAUCCUGCAGUUCUCAUGCAGUUUUC